rnacentral:rRNA from 1 species
GACAGAGGAUGCAAGCGUUAUCCGGAAUGAUUGGGCGUAAAGCGUCUGUAGGUGGUUUAUUAAGUCUACUGUUAAAGAUCAGGGCUUAACCCUGAGCAGGCAAUAGAAACUAAUAGGCUAGAGUACGGUAGGGGCAGAGGGGAAUUCCCGGUGUAGCGGUGAAAUGCGUAGAGAUCGGGAAGAACACCAACGGCGAAAGCACUCUGCUGGGCCGAAACUGACACUGAGAGACGAAAGCUAGGGGAGCAAAUGGG